rnacentral:tRNA from 1 species
UCGUCGGUGGUUCAAUGGUAGAAUGCUCGCCUGCCACGUGGGCGGUCUGGGUUCGAUUCCCGGCCCACGCA